GCCUGGCUGGCUCAGUAGGUGGAGCAUGCGACUCUUGAUCUUGGCAUUGUGAGUUCAAGUCUCAUGUUGGGUA
rnacentral:tRNA from 1 species